AUUGAACGCUGGCGGCAUGCCUUACACAUGCAAGUCGAACGGUAACGGGCCUUCGGGUGCCGACGAGUGGCGAACGGGUGAGUAAUGUAUCGGAACGUACCUUUCAGUGGGGGAUAACGUAGCGAAAGUUACGCUAAUACCGCAUAUUCUGUGAGCAGGAAAGCAGGGGAUCGCAAGACCUUGCGCUGAUUGAGCGGCCGAUAUCAGAUUAGCUAGUUGGUGAGGUAAAGGCUCACCAAGGCGACGAUCUGUAGCGGGACUGAGAGGAUGAUCCGCCACACUGGAACUGAGACACGGUCCAGACUCCUACGGGAGGCAGCAGUGGGGAAUUUUGGACAAUGGGGGCAACCCUGAUCCAGCCAUGCCGCGUGAGUGAAGAAGGCCUUCGGGUUGUAAAGCUCUUUCGGCUGGGAAGAAAUCGUAUCAGCUAAUACCUGGUGCGGAUGACGGUACCGGCAUAAGAAGCACCGGCUAACUACGUGCCAGCAGCCGCGGUAACAC
rnacentral:rRNA from 1 species